GCUGGAGGCUUACACAGCCUCCUGCCUGACAGGGAGCCUGAAGCCGCACAUGUGGCAGGGCCAAGCACAUGGGCGCCCUAGGUGAGAGAUUACUUGGCAUGGCCUCAAACCCAAAUUCUUUACAUAUUUGUUCAAUGAAUUGAGCUGAGCCUGUUCUCUGCCUGGUAAAAUGCAGAGAGCUAGUGGCUGCUGCGGCCACUCCUGCAUCGUGGUUGGCACUGGAAUUUAUAGGGGAGAGUGAGCAGAUACCUUAACUGAUCUGAAGAGCAGGACAGUUUGGACAUUUAUGGAACACAGCAAGGAGACCAAUGAAGCUCGAGCAGAGUGAAUGAGGGAAAGGGUGGAAGGAUCUGAGAUGGGAGAUCAGAGAAGCGUAGGAUCCAGAUUGCAGCGAGCCUUGUGGGCUAUUGCAAGGAUGUGACUUUUACACUGAGAAGGGGAGCUCCUGGGAAUGAAUGAAGAAGGAGAGGAGAGACAUGACCCAACUUAAAUUUAAAAAGGAUCCUGUGGUAAGCUGCAAAAUGCUCCCCUCAAGAUGUCCACAUCCUAUCCCAAGGCCUGCAAAUAUGUUGCCUUAUACGGCAAAAGGGACUUGAGGAAUGAUUAAGGUUGAGGUCCUUGAGAUGGUGAGAAGAUCCUGGAUUACCCAGUGGGCCCACUGAUGUAAUCACAGAUGUCCUUAUAAGAGAGAGGCAGGAGGAGAGACUGCUCCAGAGGAGAAGAUGUGAUGACCAAAGCAAGAUGUUGGAGUGAUGUGAGCCAAGGAAUGCAGGCAGCCUUUAGAAGCUGGAAAAGGCAAGGAACAGAGCAUUCCUGAAGCCUCCAGGACGAAUCAGUCUCCUGACUUCUUGACUUUAGCUCAGUGAAACUACUUUUGGACUUCUGGCUUCUGGAACUAUAAGAGAAAAAAAUUAGGUAAACGGCUUGGGGCUUUGGGCCUGAUCACAGAUCUGGGAAGGAGAACCAGUGCCCCAGCCCUUGUCUGCUUUAUCCUUUGGUACCUUCAUACUCCAAGCCUUCCCAGCAGCAGGGCUGUGGCAAAGGUGGGCUCCACGAAGCCCUUCCAUCUGAGCAAGAUGCCUGAGCUGUGGCUGCCCACCAGGAGUAUCUGCCUUCUUCCCGGAGACCUGAGCUGCCACUGGGCCUCUAGCAGCAAGAAAGAGCCUUUUGUUUCUCCCACACUGAAGGAAAGCCUUUGAUUGUCUGUUUGUUCAGGCUCUGCUGGGU